rnacentral:rRNA from 1 species
UACGAAGGGGCGAGCGUUGUUCGGAUUUACUGGGCGUAAAGGGCGCGCAGGCGGCUAUCCAAGUCAGGCGUGAAAGCCCCGGGCUUAACCUGGGAGGUGCGUCUGGGACUGGGUGGCUAGAGUUCGGGAGAGGAGAGUGGAAUUCCCAGUGUAGAGGUGAAAUUCGUAGAUAUUGGGAAGAACACCGGUGGCGAAGGCGGCUCUCUGGACCGAGACUGACGCUGAGGCGCGAAAGCGUGGGGAGCAAACAGG